rnacentral:rRNA from 1 species
CAGCCGCCACGGGAAUACGUAGGUGGCGAGCGUUGUCCGGAAUCAUUGGGCGUAAAGGGAGCGCAGGCGGGCAUAUAAGUCUUUCUUAAAAGUUCGGGGCUCAACCCCGUGAUGGGAAAGAAACUAUAUGUCUUGAGUACAGGAGAGGAAAGCGGAAUUCCCAGUGUAGCGGUGAAAUGCGUUGAGAUCGGAAAGAACACCAACGGCGAAAGCACUCUGCUGGGCCGACACUGACACUGAGAGACGAAAGCUAGGGGAGCAAAUGGGAUUAGAUACCCCCGUAGUCCCUGUCUCUUAUACA